rnacentral:rRNA from 1 species
GAUGAACGCUGGCGGCGUGCCUAAUACAUGCAAGUCGAGCGAACGGACGAGAAGCUUGCUUCUCUGAUAUUAGCGGCGGACGGGUGAGUAACACGUGGAUAACCUACCUAUAAGACUGGGAUAACUUCGGGAAACCGGAGCUAAUACCGGAUAAUAUUUUGAACCGCAUGGUUCAAAAGUGAAAGACGGUCUUGCUGUCACUUAUAGAUGGAUCCGCGCUGCAUUAGAUAGUUGGUAAGGUAACGGCUUACCAAGGCAACGAUGCAUAGCCGACCUGAGAGGGUGAUCGGCCACACUGGAACUGAGACACGGUCCAGACUCCUACGGGAGGCAGCAGUAGGGAAUCUUCCGCAAUGGGCGAAAGCCUGACGGAGCUACGCCGCGUGAGUGAUGAAGGUCUUCGGAUCGUAAAACUCUGUUAUUAGGGAAGAACAUAUGUGUAAGUAACUGUGCACAUCUUGACGGUACCUAAUCAGAAAGCCACGGCUAACUACGUG